rnacentral:rRNA from 1 species
GAUGAACGCUGGCGGCGUGCCUAAUACAUGCCAGUCGAGCGAACGGACGAGAAGCUUGCUUCUCUGAUGUUAGCGGCGGACGGGUGAGUAACACGUGGAUAACCUACCUAUAAGACUGGGAUAACUUCGGGAAACCGGAGCUAAUACCGGAUGAUAUUUUGAACCGCAUGGUUCAAAAGUGAAAGACGGUCUUGCUGUCACUUAUAGAUGGAUCCGCGCUGCAUUAGCUAGUUGGUAAGGUAACGGCUUACCAAGGCAACGAUGCAUAGCCGACGUGAGAGAGUGAUCGGCCACACGGGAAGUGGGACACGGUCCAGACUCCUACGGGAGGCAGCAGUAGGGAAUCGUCCGCAAUGGGCGAAAGCCUGACGGAGCAACGCCGCGUGAGUGAUGAAGGUCUUCGGAUCGUAAAACUCUGUUAUUAGGGAAGAACAUAUGUGUAAGUAACUGUGCACAUCUUGACGGUACCGAAUCAGAAAGCCACGGCUAACUACGUG